GAUGAACGCUGGCGGCGUGCCUAAUACAUGCAAGCCGAGCGAACGGACGAGAAGCUUGCUUCUCUGAUGUUAGCGGCGGACGGGUGAGUAACACGUGGAUAACCUACCUAUAAGACUGGGAUAACUUCGGGAAACCAUAGCUAAUACCGGAUAAUAUUUUGAACCGCAUGGUUCAAAAGUGAAAGACGGUCUUGCUGUCACUUAUAGAUGGAUCCGCGCUGCAUUAGCUAGUUGGUAAGGUAACGGCUUACCAAGGCAACGAUGCAUAGCCGACCUGAGAGGGUGAUCGGCCACACUGGAACUGGGACACGGUCCAGACUCCUACGGGAGGCAGCAGUAGGGAAUCUUCCGCAAUGGGCGAAAGCCUGACGGAGCAACGCCGCGUGAGUGAUGAAGGUCUUCGGAUCGUAAAACUCUGUUAUUAGGGAAGAACAUAUGUGUAAGUAACUGUGCACAUCUUGACGGUACCUAAUCAGAAAGCCACGGCUAACUACGUG
rnacentral:rRNA from 1 species